rnacentral:rRNA from 1 species
UACGGGGGGGGCAAGCGUUGUUCGGAAUUACUGGGCGUAAAGGGCUCGUAGGCGGCCAACUAAGUCAGACGUGAAAUCCCUCGGCUUAACCGGGGAACUGCAUCUGAUACUGGAUGGCUUGAGUUCGGGAGAGGGAUGCGGAAUUCCAGGUGUAGCGGUGAAAUGCGUAGAUAUCUGGAGGAACACCGGUGGCGAAGGCGGCGUGCUGGACUGCUACUGACACUGAGGAACGAAAGCCAGGGGAGCAAACGGG